rnacentral:rRNA from 1 species
AACGUAGGGGACAAGCGUUAUCCGGAUUUACUGGGCGUAAAGCGCCCGUAGGCGGCCUGACAAGUUGGACGUGAAAGCUCCCGGCUUAACUGGGAGAGGCCGUUCAAAACUGUCAAGCUAGAGUCUGGAAGAGGAGAGCGGAAUUCCCGGUGUAGUGGUGGAAUGCGUAGAGAUCGGGAGGAACACCAGUGGCGAAAGCGGCUCUCUGGUCCAAAACUGACGCUGAGGGGCGAAAGCGUGGGGAGCGAACGGG